GACGAAGGAUGCAAGUGUUAUCCGGAAUCACUGGGCGUAAAGCGUCUGUAGGUCGUUUAAAAAGUCUACUGUUAAAAAUUGAAGCUUAACUUCAAAGAUGCCGUAGAAACUUUUAAACUUGAGUAUGGUAGGGGUAGAGGGAAUUUCCAGUGGAGCGGUGAAAUGCGUAGAUAUUGGAAAGACCACCAAUGGCGAAGGCACUCUACUGGGCCAUUACUGACACUGAGAGACGAAAGCUAGGGGAGCAAAUGGG
rnacentral:rRNA from 1 species